AUGGCAAAGGAACUGUCCGCCAAGCGUCACCAUGGCGAGACGUCGAACAAGAGCAGCAACCUCGUCGACAUUCACGUCCCCGGUGAGAAGCGCGAGUACACCAGAACGCUCAAAGGGGUUGAGCUCCACGGCAAGGAGAUGCUGGAGAUCGUCUGCACCAGCGUACCGGACAAGGCCGACGAGGUGAUGAGCAGGCUCAGGAUGAAGGGCGGCGGCUUGUAUCCGAGCUUCAUCGGAGUUGAUGUGGAGCCCAAGCGCCUCAAAGACUUCCUGCAGCAGGAGAAAUUGUACACAUUUGUCGGUUUCAGCAUUGGAGGUGACAAGCAGAUGCUAGACAAGUCUGGUUUGGAGAUCAACCCCAACAACUUCAUCGACAUGCAACGCAAGUGGAAAGAUCCCAAGACCAACAAAUACUACGACUCCUUGGACGAUGUUGCAGGCGGCAUCAUCCACCCAUUCUACAACGGCAUGAAGAAUAAGAUGGUCAGGGCAGACCACAAACUGUGGGGGACUAGCCUGCUGCCAGACAACCUCAUCACGUACGCAGGAAUAGAUGCGUACGCAACGUACAAGUCAUGGAAGACAAUUGACAACAUCGUGACAGGUUGGGAUAUUUCAAAAGAG
rnacentral:rRNA from 1 species